rnacentral:rRNA from 1 species
AAGUCGAGCGGACCGACGGGAGCUUGCUCCCUUAGGUCAGCGGCGGACGGGUGAGUAACACGUGGGUAACCUGCCUGUAAGACUGGGAUAACUCCGGGAAACCGGGGCUAAUACCGGAUGCUUGAUUGAACCGCAUGGUUCAAUCAUAAAAGGUGGCUUUUAGCUACCACUUGCAGAUGGACCCGCGGCGCAUUAGCUAGUUGGUGAGGUAACGGCUCACCAAGGCGACGAUGCGUAGCCGACCUGAGAGGGUGAUCGGCCACACUGGGACUGAGACACGGCCCAGACUCCUACGGGAGGCAGCAGUAGGGAAUCUUCCGCAAUGGACGAAAGUCUGACGGAGCAACGCCGCGUGAGUGAUGAAGGUUUUCGGAUCGUAAAACUCUGUUGUUAGGGAAGAACAAGUACCGUUCGAAUAGGGCGGCACCUUGACGGUACCUAACCAGAAAGCCACGGCUAACUACGUGCCAGCAGCCGCGGUAAUACGUAGGUGGCAAGCGUUGUCCGGAAUUAUUGGGCGUAAAGCGCGCGCAGGCGGUUUCUUAAGUCUGAUGUGAAAGCCCCCGGCUCAACCGGGGAGGGUCAUUGGAAACUGGGGAACUUGAGUGCAGAAGAGGAGAGUGGAAUUCCACGUGUAGCGGUGAAAUGCGUAGAGAUGUGGAGGAACACCAGUGGCGAAGGCGACUCUCUGGUCUGUAACUGACGCUGAGGCGCGAAAGCGUGGGGAGCGAACAGGAUUAGAUACCCUGGUAGUCCACGC